rnacentral:sRNA from 1 species
GUUGGGCACAGUGGCCUAUGCCUGUAAUCCCAAUGGUUUGGGAGGCUGAGGCAGGAGGAUUGCAAGUUCAAGGCCAACUUCAGCAACUCAGCAAGACCCUAAGCAGUUUAGCAAGACCCAGUCUCAA